UGAACGCUGGCGGUAUGCUUUACACAUGCAAGUCGAACGGCAGCACGGGGCAACCUGGUGGCGAGUGGCGAACGGGUGAGUAACAUAUCGGAACAUAUCCGGAAGUGGGGGAUAACGUAGCGAAAGUUACGCUAAUACCGCAUAUGCCCUGAGGGGGAAAGGGGGGGAUCGCAAGACCUCUCGCUUUCGGAGUGGCCGAUAUCGGAUUAGCUAGAUGGUGAGGUAAAGGCUCACCAUGGCGACGAUCCGUAGCGGGUCUGAGAGGACGACCCGCCACACUGGAACUGAGACACGGUCCAGACUCCUACGGGAGGCAGCAGUGGGGAAUUUUGGACAAUGGGCGCAAGCCUGAUCCAGCCAUACCGCGUGAGUGAAGAAGGCCUUCGGGUUGUAAAGCUCUUUCAGCCGGAAAGAAAUCGCACUUUUUAAUACGGAGUGUGGAUGACGGUACCGGAAGAAGAAGCACCGGCUAACUACGUGCCAGCAGCCGCGGUAAUACGUAGGGUGCGAGCGUUAAUCGGAAUUACUGGGCGUAAAGCGUGCGCAGGCGGUUUGAUAAGACAGAUGUGAAAUCCCCGGGCUCAACCUGGGAACUGCAUUUGUGACUGUCAGACUAGAGUGUAGCAGAGGGGGGUAGAAUUCCACGUGUAGCAGUGAAAUGCGUAGAGAUGUGGAGGAAUACCGAUGGCGAAGGCAGCCCCCUGGGCUAACACUGACGCUCAUGCACGAAAGCGUGGGGAGCAAACAGGAUUAGAUACCCUGGUAGUCCACGCCCUAAACGAUGUCAACUAGGUGUUGGGGAAGGAGACUUCUUUAGUACCGCAGCUAACGCGUGAAGUGACC
rnacentral:rRNA from 1 species